CCAGUCCUAUACUUGUGUAGAAGCUGUUUCCUAGAGAAAAGGCUUACUCAAUUAUUGAAAAGGAGAAAUUAGUGAUUAAAUGGGCCAUGGUUUCCUUCAGGUAUUACCUGUUCAAUAGCUCUUUCUCCCUCAUCACAGAUCAUACUCCCCUAUACUGGAUUCACACCAUGAAAGGCAUAAACGCACAUAUAAUGAAAUGGUACAUUGCACUACAACCUGAUAGUUCCAGGUACAACAUUAGGCAGGAAAGGACCAUGCUAAUGCUGGUUUCUUUUCAUGGGAGAUCAGGGAUGGAGACAACCACCCCAGAAUGUCUUUUCCAGCUUAAGGGGUGGAGUAUGUGAAGGGAAACGUCCUUACUCUGGUGGAGAGAAUACUAAUGAGCUCUUCUGGGCCUUUUCAGCUCUAACAAGGCACCACCUGCAAGGCUUGUUCCACCCAGAAGGGGCUGGCUUAAAAACAGAAACCCUGCCAUAGGAAGGGGAAGUGAAUGGGAGGAGGACUGCUCCACCUCAGAGACUGCUGACAGCAGAGACCCACCAGCCAAGGGAGAGACAGCAGCAGAGCUCAUUGCUCCCGAAGCUGCACCACAGUACAAACCAAGAGGAGGAGCUCAAGAGAAAUUUUGGAACUCUAUGAAUGAUGCCACAAUGGACAUAAGUAAAAAAUGCCUGCCCAAAUGUUAAAAUCACAAUCAAAAUUCUGCUCAGUGCUGCUGGACAUUGGGCUGAUGGCUUCGAUGGGGCAUAUUCUGAACUCAGUUACACCCAAGGAACCACACAGAAUUUGCCAGUGUCAAUGAGGGCACAAUUUGGUCCAAUGAUAUUUCCACACUGGUCCUCUAUUUCUUUCUUGAUCAGUCUCCUGGAUGGUAUUUUCACUUAGCACAUAGCCUGGGGAAAAUAAAAUCUAAGGACUAAUUAUGUAACAUUUGUUUACACUGAGUCAUGUUUGCCAUCUGCUGGUUCAAUCACCUAAACAAUCCAAAUUCUUAAAAAUCUGGUUGUUCAUUAGCAUUUGCUCUGCUUUCAAUCUUAUUAUCUGCAAACAUGCACAUUUUGGCCUUGAUGUUGCAAUGAGCACCACACAGACAGACCUCUGAGCCUGUGUGGAACCCCACUGACUUCAAGAGAGCUCAGCACAAGUGGAAGAGCCUGCCACUGCAGAGUUUAUUGCAGGGUCUGAGCCUUUGUUUUCAGUACCUUCAUACACACCAGGUGCCGUAUUAGCCACCCACAUAGAGGCAAUCCCAUUAUCUGAUGGAACUAAGGGCUAUAUUUGGCUAGCCAUGUAAUGGACAGAAAGCCUAGAUUUAGAUGCUGGAAUAUGGGAAAUGGGGGUUACUCCAUUUAUAAUUAAUGUCACUGUUGGAACUGGAUGACUAAGGUGUUCGGUAAUAAGCUCUGCAUUUUAUUCUCUCUACUUUAAAUUGAUGGUUCAAAUGUGACCCAGAUCAGUUGUGACGAAGGGCUCAAAUGGUAAAGCUUAAUUCACAUAUUUGUUUGUUUAUACAAAAAUAAACUUUAAUGGAAACACUGACAUGCGUAAAGGCUUGCAGAAUCAGGUCCUAAAAUUUAUGUUGUUUAUAUCAAACAAUGGUAUGUAUUCAGUUAGGAAAGCAAGAGCUAUAGAGAAGUCUCACCUAAUAAUUAGAUGUCCUGUUACGUGUUCUGCUACCAUUCUAGGGGAAAACAUCAAUCAUUUCCCAUACUAAAAAAUUUAAAAUAUGUAAGAUUCAUUAUCUGGAUAGAAACUGGUUUUUAUUUGUUUAAAUAUGCUAUGAACAGCUAUAUUUGCAGCAU